rnacentral:SRP_RNA from 1 species
CGCAAGCCUUCUUCGUUUACUGGUUCACUGAAGAAGGCAACAUCGCUGGGAUCAGCAUCAUCAACUCUUCCACCAUCUGGAAAGUC